CAGUAGCCGCGGGAAUACGAAGGGUGCAAGCGUUAAUCGGAAUUACUGGGCGUAAAGCGUGCGUAGGUGGUGGUUUAAGUCCGUUGUGAAAGCCCUGGGCUCAACCUGGGAAUUGCAGUGGAUACUGGGUCACUAGAGUGUGGUAGAGGAUAGUGGAAUUUCCGGUGUAGCAGUGAAAUGCGUAGAGAUCGGAAGGAACAUCUGUGGCGAAGGCGACUAUCUGGGCCAACACUGACACUGAGGCACGAAAGCGUGGGGAGCAAACAGGAUUAGAUACCCCGGUAGUCCUGUCUCUUAUACA
rnacentral:rRNA from 1 species